GAUACUGUUACUACUGUACGUGAAUAGCCUGCCUACAUAUUCUUUCUAAUAUUCUACAAUCUCUAAUCAACUGCCUCCACCAACCAGCCCUACAGCUUGUGAAGCUGUGAUUCUAAUUCCUUAAUUAAUGGAAUUUAAUUCAGUAUAAAUAGACUGAUCCAUAGUAUUGGCUAAAUUGUACUCGACUCAAACAAUCAAUUACUAAAUUUACACCUAUCUUCAAGAACUAUAUAAUAAUAAUAAUUAUUAUUAUUAUUAUUAUUAUAUUAUAUAUAUAAUGGCAUCAUUGAAGGCCGACAAACCUGUUGGAUCUCAACAGGCCAAGAAUGAGCCUGCCAAGACUACAACUAGCACGGCUCCGAAAGCUACGGCCUCCACCAAGCCCGCCCCUAAGAAGGCUGCCCCAAAGACUCAGGAACUCAAGAAGAAGGUAGUAGUAAUACAUAUAUACUCAUAUGUGUGCUGUGUGCAUGUUUUUUUAAAUACUCCAACUGACGAAAUUUUUAUUAAAACCUACCAACCGUAAUACAAAUUGUGGCGAAUCCAAAAGGUUUAGAUUAUAUUCUACCCAAAUCCAUGAACAGAAAUGGAGCAAUACGUACGUAUACAUCAAAAACAAUUUCCUUAUUAAUUGGUUGGUGUCUUGUUGGUUUUAAAACACUUUGAAUUGAUUUUUUAUUAGUCUACCAAGGGUGGAAAAUCAGCAGCAGCAGCAGCAGCAGCAAAGUAGUAACACCAUUGAUCGAGGGACAUGCAUGCACGACUCUCUGAGAGAGGAGGAUGAUAUAUAUAUAUAUAUAUAUAUAUAUAUAUGCUUUAAUUACUCUGUUUUCAUUUUAUUAGUGUGACAUGGAAGUUGGUACGUCCUUGUAAGUUAGCUUGCUUGGCUUACUUAGCCUGAUGAAAUAAAUUUACAUAUUUGCAUCAUGAAUCUGGUAUCAUUAAUUUUUCUACACAAUUACGAUAAACC
rnacentral:lncRNA from 1 species